UACAGGGGGGGCAAGCGUUGUUCGGAAUUACUGGGCGUAAAGGGCUCGUAGGCGGCCAACUAAGUCCGACGUGAAAUCCCAAAGCUUAACUUUGGAACUGCGUCCGAUACUGGUUGGCUUGAAUCCGGGAGAGGGAUGUGGAAUUCCAGGUGUAGCGGUGAAAUGCGUAGAUAUCUGGAGGAACACCGGUGGCGAAGGCGACAUCCUGGACCGGUAUUGACGCUGAGGCGCGAAAGCCAGGGGAGCAAACGGG
rnacentral:rRNA from 1 species